rnacentral:rRNA from 1 species
GGGCCCGCACAAGCGGUGGAGCAUGUGGUUUAAUUCGAUGCAACGCGAAGAACCUUACCAGGGUUUGACAUCCUGCGAAUCUCUUGGAAACGAGAGAGUGCCUUCGGGAACGCAGUGACAGGUGGUGCAUGGCUGUCGUCAGCUCGUGUCGUGAGAUGUUGGGUUAAGUCCCGCAACGAGCGCAACCCACGUCUUUAGUUGCCAGCAUUUAGUUGGGCACUCUAGAGAGACUGCCGAUUAUAAAUCGGAGGAAGGUAAGGACGACGUCAAGUCAUCAUGCCCCUUACACUCUGGGCUACACACGUACUACAAUGCUACGGACAAAGGGCUGCAAGUUCGCGAGGACAAGCA